AGUGAACGCUGGCGGCAGGCCUAACACAUGCAAGUCGAGCGGCAGCGCGGGGGCAACCCUGGCGGCGAGCGGCGGACGGGUGAGGAAUUCGUCGGAAUCUGCCUUUCUGUGGGGGAUAACGUAGGGACACUUACGCUCAUACCGCAUUAGUCCUACGGGCGAAAGUGUGGGACCGCAAGACCUCACGCCGAAAGAUGAGCCGACGACCGAUUAGCUAGUUGGUGGGGUAAAGGCGCACCAAGGCGACGAUCGGUAGCUGGUCUGAGAGGAUGAUCAGCCACACUGGAACUGAGACACGGCCCAGACUCCUACGGGAGGCAGCAGUGGGGAAUAUUGGACAAUGGGCGCAAGCCUGAUCCAGCCAUGCCGCGUGGGUGAAGAAGGCCUUCGGGUUGUAAAGCACUUUUGUCCGGAAAGAAAACCCGGGAGCUAAUACCCUCGGGGGAUGACGGUACCGGAAGAAUAAGCACCGGCUAACUUCGUG
rnacentral:rRNA from 1 species